UACAGAGGUCUCAAGCGUUGUUCGGAUUCAUUGGGCGUAAAGGGUGCGUAGGCGGCGCGGUAAGUCGGGGUGUGAAAUCUUGGAGCUUAACUCCGAAACUGCAUUCGAUACUGCCGUGCUUGAGGACUGGAGAGGAGACUGGAAUUUACGGUGUAGCGGUGAAAUGCGUAGAUAUCGUAAGGAAGACCAGUGGCGAAGGCGGGUCUCUGGACAGUUCCUGACGCUGAGGCACGAAGGUCCAGGGGAGCAAACGGG
rnacentral:rRNA from 1 species